ACAUGGCCUAUUCUUAGCCAAUCAAUUGGGUGAUGUGGACACUCUCUUUGGCCAGAGAAUUCAUCUUAGGCGCCAAUCUCUUUUCCACUAUUCUCCUUCUCACGUACGUUUCUUCACCCCGCCUCUCUCUUCAAUCAAAUACAUCUUUCAUUUUUCCUGAUUGCUUUCCCAUUUCAUAGUACAGAAACCCUAGGUUUCUUCCUCUGCGGCUUUGUUGUCGAUUUGAAGGUCAUCGCUCUCAAUCAAUCCUCUGGGUCGUUUGUUUCAUCUAUUGCUUCAGCACUGAUGUCAUCGCACCAUCAAAUUUCUUCUUUUUCAGCCCCCUUCCAAUCCAGAGAUCGUCCGCCACCACUUAUUUCCUUCUGAAUUGACUCUACAACAGGAGGAACCUUAUGGUGUGAUAUGAUGAAUCAAGGAGGAGUUUCAGACACCAGAACGACACUGGACCAGAAAGUUUCACUUGUGGUUGGUGUUUGAUAAAUAACAUUGCCUCUCUCACCAUGGUUCUAGACAAGUAAUUCCCCCUCCCUCCCCUUCUCAUACCUGCAGGUACGCACCAGUUUAAUCUUUAAUUAUAUUUAUUUUCACUAAUUAUUACCUUUGAAACAUGAAUAUAAGGCUGAAGAUGACCAUAUCAAUAUUUGUGAAGCUUAUAUGUUGAUUUUUUUAAAUAAAAUUAAGAAAAAGAUGUGUUAGUGGUAUAAUGUUAUGAUUAUAUUGUAAGGAUUAAUCUUGGAGGGCUCAACAAACGGGCCACUUGAUACAGUUAUGCAGCUGGGCCGGGUCAAACGGGUCAGCCACAGUUUGUUUAUUAAGUCACGUUUUAUUAGAAAAAGUAGUGGAUCUUGAGUAAUGGGUCACUAAUUUGCUUUUUAGUAGGGGAUAAUUUGUCAAAUAACUACUGGGAAAAAAAACAGUUGUAUGAUACAUGGGUGUGUCAUAUUGCAUACAAAGUUACAAUUCCUUUUUUUUCAUUAGCAUCCUUUCAAUUUCUUUUACAUUACUGGGUUUAUGUGUUUGAUUUGUUGUUGGUAAAUGUCAUGCUUUAAUCCCAAAUGAUGAUUUAUGUCCUAUCAAUAUGAAUUGUUACACAUCAUUGUUAUUUUUCAAUUUGUUUCUCCACCAUCUACAUACUACUGAUUGUAGUUUUUUCGAGUUCAUUAUAUUAGAAAAAAAUAUUUUUGUCACAGAUUGCUUUCUUUUGUUAUUAUCGUUACUACACACCUAUAAAUAUGUGAUCAAUAAUAUACAAUAACUUACGGGUUUUGUUCUUCUAUAAAACGGGGACUGGUGGGCAUGCAGAAACCUCCAAGAGUUGACUGAAGGUUGCUCAUCCUUCGGUGACAAUUUUGACAUGUUUACUUUUAAUGGGUCGAUUAGACAUAUAUUUGGGAAAAAAAAAACUUUCUUUUUGGUCUCAAAAAGACAACCAUAUUAGGCAAGUCCUGAUAACAAUGAGAGUUUGAAGUUUAGGUGGCUGAGCUGCAUUAACACUCAUCAUUAACACUAAAUCUGUAGAUUUGAAAUUAAGCAAAGGAAAUCACCAACAAGUCUAGCCGGUAUGUGUCAUACCACGGGAAAAUUCAUUGACAUUAACAUCUUUGAUCUUUUCUGUCCUUAGAUCUUGCCACUCCAUAAACUGUGAGUCUAUAACUGCUAUAAUCUUUUGGAUUGCAAGAGUCAACCCUAUCAAUUUAGGUUUCUGGCGAUACAUUCAGGGAGGGAGAUACGGUAAAGAUGCCUCCAAAGGUAGAGCAUUAUCGGUCACAACGAAUCUAAUCGGUUCCAACCGAACAGUGGUGUAAAUCAGAUGUUGCAUUCUUUUGAUUAUAUCACAAAUUUAUUAUUUUUGUUUCCGCUUGGUGUUUGCGUCAUAUCCUUUAUACAACCCGUGUAACACACGGGAACUUAAGCUAUAGUGCCACGUGUAUGUGUGUUUUUGUAGUCAAGUGGGUUCUCUACAUGUUUCGCAUCGACGGCUGUCUGUUUAUACACACCUUCAAAAAACUUUUGCCUACUGUAUUUUUUUCUAGAUUGAUGUUUUAUCUAAUAGGUUUCAGUAGAAUAAUGUGAUGAUUGGAUCUUUGUUGUUUAAUAUUCUUGAUUCUUCUGUUACAUCUUCAUCCCUGUUUGUUUCCAUAGGUUUUGUUCCUUUUUUUUUUUUUUUUUUUGAAAGUUGCAAGCGAUGAUUUUUGGACAUUUAAAAUAAAGUUUCCAUAUCUUUUUUUCCAUAGGCUAAUAUACCUCUAAAACUAUUUACCAUUUUACCCUCACUUCUUUCUCUGUUUAGAGCGUGGGUGGGUGGGUCAUGGGCUGGUGUGUGUGGGUUAGGGCUGGUUGGGUUGGAUUUGGUGAGGAUGAUUGGCCUUUGGGAUGCUUGCAAACUGGUUGUUCAAGGCUCACGCUCUUAUGUCAUUGGAUCUCACAUGCUCUCAAAACAUUGAGAGCUGGUGGCAUCAAGCUAGAUUUGAUUGCACCGAUUGGCAAUAUUGUUUGCUUCUGCAGCUGAACAGUCAGGUACUCUACCAAAAUGAGCCCAUUGGAUCAGUUGGGUCAAGGCCCAAUGUGUGUUAUAUAUGGGUUGGAUUUACUUAUCUCCGCUGAAGGCCCAGUCUUGGGUUAGAUGCUGUGUGAAGGAGCGUUUGAAGGUCUAGGCUAAACAGAAUAAAAAGGGCCUGGCUAAUGUGUUGCUGUUGAAGGCCGAGACUCAGUAUGCCUUGAGUGUUAUUGACGACUCUCACACAUGUUCUGGUGGCACUACAAAAGUCCAUACAGAGUUCGUGAUCCAAAAAAGCCAUGGCUAAUUUGCAAGGUGGACCAGGUGGUUCAAGGGUUGGAAUAGGAAACUUUGGUGAGGUGGGGCCAUUGGAUCGUAACCCAAGAAACUUCACAUGGCUCAGAAAGGCAGAUCUUUUAUUUGUGGAUAAUCCAGUUGGGACAGGAUACAGUUCUGUGAAGGAUGAAAAGUUAUUGGUGAAAACUGAUGAAGAAGCUGCUAGGGAUUUAACUACAUUGUUGAUUAAAUUAUUUAACAGAAAUAAAAGCCUACUAAAUUUUUUUUCAUAUUUUUUCUAUGAUAGGUAUGGUGUUGUUAGAUGACAUGAUAUAUUGAAGCUGAAUAUAUUUCGUUAGCACAAGUAUAUACUUCAUAUGUGUUUUGCUUCAUGAUCUUUAAACUUUGUAAAAAAAAAACACUAUAUCCACCAAUUCAUUUAUAUAUAUUUGAGGUCGUAAUUUCGACUAUAUUCGUUAGCUGAA